UGGGGAAUUUUGGACAAUGGGGGAAACCCUGAUCCAGCCAUCCCGCGUGUGCGAUGAAGGCCUUCGGGUUGUAAAGCACUUUUGGCAGGAAAGAAACGUCGCGGGUUAAUACCCCGCGGAACUGACGGUACCUGCAGAAUAAGCACCGGCUAACUACGUGCCAGCAGCCGCGGUAAUACGUAGGGUGCAAGCGUUAAUCGGAAUUACUGGGCGUAAAGCGUGCGCAGGCGGUUCGGAAAGAAAGAUGUGAAAUCCCAGAGCUUAACUUUGGAACUGCAUUUUUAACUACCGGGCUAGAGUGUGUCAGAGGGAGGUGGAAUUCCGCGUGUAGCAGUGAAAUGCGUAGAUAUGCGGAGGAACACCGAUGGCGAAGGCAGCCUCCUGGGAUAACACUGACGCUCAUGCACGAAAGCGUGGGGAGCAAACAGGAUUAGAUACCCUGGUAGUCCACGCCCUAAACGAUGUCAACUAGCUGUUGGGGUCUUCGGACCUUGGUAGCGCAGCUAACGCGUGAAGUUGACCGCCUGGGGAGUACGGUCGCAAGAUUAAAACUCAAAGGAAUUGACGGGGUCGAU
rnacentral:rRNA from 1 species